AUUGAACGCUGGCGGCAGGCCUAACACAUGCAAGUCGAACGGUAACAGGAGGCAGCUUGCUGCUUUGCUGACGAGUGGCGGACGGGUGAGUAAUGUCUGGGAAACUGCCUGAUGGAGGGGGAUAACUACUGGAAACGGUAGCUAAUACCGCAUAACGUCGCAAGACCAAAGAGGGGGACCUUAGGGCCUCUUGCCAUCGGAUGUGCCCAGAUGGGAUUAGCUAGUAGGUGGGGUAACGGCUCACCUAGGCGACGAUCCCUAGCUGGUCUGAGAGGAUGACCAGCCACACUGGAACUGAGACACGGUCCAGACUCCUACGGGAGGCAGCAGUGGGGAAUAUUGCACAAUGGGCGCAAGCCUGAUGCAGCCAUGCCGCGUGUAUGAAGAAGGCCUUCGGGUUGUAAAGUACUUUCAGCGGGGAGGAAGGGAGUAAAGUUAAUACCUUUGCUCAUUGACGUUACCCGCAGAAGAAGCACCGGCUAACUCCGUG
rnacentral:rRNA from 1 species